rnacentral:rRNA from 1 species
AUCCUGGCUCAGGAUGAACGCUAGCGGCAGGCUUAAUACAUGCAAGUCGUGGGGCAGCAUGAGUAGCAAUACUUGAUGGCGACCGGCAAACGGGUGAGGAACACGUACACAACCUUCCUUCAAGCGGGGAAUAGCCCAGAGAAAUUUGGAUUAAUACCCAUAAUAUAUUUGAUAAGGCAUCUUAUUAAUAUUAAAGCUUCGGCACUUGAUGAUGGGUGUGCGGCUGAUUAGAUAGUUGGCGGGGUAACGGCCCACCAAGUCUACGAUCAGUAGCUGAUGUGAGAGCAUGAUCAGCCACACGGGCACUAAGACACGGGCCCGACUCCUACGGGAGGCAGCAGUAAGGAAUAUUGGACAAUGGACGAAAGUCUGAUCCAGCCAUGCCGCGUGAAGGAUUAAGGUCCUCUGGAUUGUAAACUUCUUUUAUAUGGGACGAAAAAGGGCAUUCUUGUUCACUUGACGGUACCAUAUGAAUAAGCACCGGCUAACUCCGUG